rnacentral:rRNA from 1 species
GACGAACGCUGGCGGCGUGCUUAACACAUGCAAGUCGAACGGAAAGGCCCUGCUUUUGUGGGGUGCUCGAGUGGCGAACGGGUGAGUAACACGUGAGUAACCUGCCCUUGACUUUGGGAUAACUUCAGGAAACUUGGGCUAAUACCGGAUAGGAGCUCCUGCUGCAGGGUGGGGGUGGGAAAGUUUCGGCGGUUGGGGAUGGACUCGCGGCUUAUCAGAUUGUUGGUGGGGUAGUGGCUUACCAAGGCUUUGACCGGUAGCAGGCCUGAGAGGGUGACCGGCCACAUUGGGACUGAGAUACGGCCCAGACUCCUACGGGACGGAGCGGUGGGGAAUAUUGCACAAUGGGCGGAAGCCUGAUGCAGCAACGCCGCGUGCGGGAUGACGGCCUUCGGGUUGUAAACCACUUUCGCCUGUGCCGAAGCGUGAGUGACGGUAAUGGGUAAAGAAGCACCGGCUAACUACGUG